rnacentral:lncRNA from 10 species
GCCUUACGGAACAUACAUGAGAGAACAAGACACAAAGCACCUUUGGGUCAAUUAUCGUAUCUGAUACUUCUUAUACCUGUUGCAAGAUAUGGAGUUAUGAUUAGGUCAUUCUUCAGUUUAUUAACUGAGACCCAGGAGAGAUAAUUCCAAAGUCAUUAUCAGGAUUAAACAAGUCUUUUGACAGACUGAUGCCUUUUCCAUCAUAAACUCUACAAACUGAAGAGCAACAGUGUUCCAGAGAACAGUGUGACCUUCCUGUAGUUUUGACUCUAAGCCUUCAGUCUAAACUCUGGAUACUUCCUCUUUCCUUUUGGGAAAAUUGAUCUGGCACUAUUUGAUCCCUACCUUGAAAGGGUGCUCAAGAAAAACAUAAAAUAUUUAUGAAGUGCUUUGUUUCAUGGGAAGCAAUGUUCCAGGAUGCAAAACUUCUGUAUGCUCUGAGCAGCAGUGUUGGAAACGUACUUCAGCUUACCAUACAUUGUAUCAGCUCUUCCAAGGUUGCACAUUUCACUCCUGACUGCCCAUGUGUGAAAAUCUAAGAAUGUCACACAUCCCUUUGCCACCUUUCAUUAACCAUGUUUGUUCCUGAGAAUGGUGCGACACAUUAUUAAAAUGUCCAAAAAGGGAAAUAAAGGAGUCGGGGGUGAGAAGAAGAGGAGGAGGUGGUAGCAGGGAGGUGAGUAGGAACUGACAACCCCUGAGGAGCCCAAGCUGUUAACCUGCAGGGUAUGGGCAUCCUCUGCCAUUCACCCUGCAAGGUGAAACUGAGACUCACUGGCCAGAUCUUGCAAGAAACUCUGCCAAGGUCUGCCAUGGCCAAGCCUUUUCAGUGACAAGAGACGGUGGGGUGCAGAGCUGUUCAUUUGGCAUCCUUCACCAACACUAAGGUCACUGAUAAAAUAUUAAGCUGAUCUUAUUUUCAACUCAAAGUGUUUUCUGUUGUAUAUCC